UGGGGAAUAUUGCACAAUGGGGAAGACCCUGAUGCAGCGACGCCGCGUGAAGGAUGAAGUAUUUCGGUAUGUAAACUUCUAUCAGCAGGGAAGAAAAUGACGGUACCUGAGUAAGAAGCCCCGGCUAACUACGUGCCAGCAGCCGCGGUAAUACGUAGGGGCGAAGCGUUAUCCGGAUUUACUGGGUGUAAAGGGAGCGUAGACGGAUCUGCAAGUCUGGAGUGAAAGCCCGGGGCUCAACCCGGCAGCGUUGGCAAUGAACUGUGGAUCUAGAGUGCCGGAGAGGUAAGCGGAAUUCCUAGUGUAGCGGUGAAAUGCGUAGAUAUUAGGAGGAACACCAGUGGCGAAGGCGGCUUACUGGACGGUAACUGACGUUGAGGCUCGAAAGCGUGGGGAGCAAACAGGAUUAGAUACCC
rnacentral:rRNA from 1 species